CAGCAUCCCUCUCCCUGACGCUGUUCCCAGCAUCCCUGUCUCUGACACUGUUCCCAGCAUCCCUCUCUCUGACACUGUUCCCAGCAUCCCUCACCCUGGGGUGUUCCCAGCAUCCCCCUCUCUGGGGCGUUCCCAGCAUCCCUCUCCCUGACGCUGUUCCCAGCAUCCCUCUCCCUGACGCUGUUCCCAGCAUCCCUGUCUCUGACACUGUUCCCAGCAUCCCUCUCUCUGACACUGUUCCCAGCAUCCCUCACCCUGGGGUGUUCCCAGCAUCCCCCUCUCUGGGGCGUUCCCAGCAUCCCUCUCCCUGACGCUGUUCCCAGCAUCCCCCUCCCUGACGCUGUUCCCAGCAUCCCCCUCCCUGACGCUGUUCCCAGCAUCCCCCUCCCUGAGGCUGUUCCCAGCAUCCCUCUCCCUGACGCUGUCCCAGCAUCUGUCUUUGUGACCGCGCGUCCCCAGGUCCCCAGCAAGGCCAGCCCGGUACAGCGCCAUCUUCCAGUGCCUUCCUCUAAGUGGCCGUCCCCUCUCAGUUCAAAGUGUCCUUGCGGUCGGCGUCCUGCAGCUGCAGCCCCUCCCCCGCCCAGCAAGGCCGCGAGGACCGGGGCCAGGACUUCGGUGUGGCCGAAGGCGCAAGGGGCUCACCGUCCGAUGCGCCCGAGGAGUCAAGGCGACGAGACCGAUGGCAGCAGCAGCUCCCUCGUGACAGAUGACGACAGUGCAAGCUGCAGGCAGCAGCCUUGUGACAUAGAUGGGAUUGUCCCCAUUUUGCAGGACUACUAUGUAGAUUCCUCGAGUUAUUCGGAAUGAUGAAAGCAGUGCUAAGCAGCUACAGGUGGAUGGGUUUGGCAACACCAGGAACCAUGGCAGGAGCCAUCACAGAUGUCUGGACGGAUGCCCCCACUCAAGAGGGAUAGGAUGGAAAUAGGAAAUAGCUGAGAACGCUUUAGGGUAUCUCGGAGGCCGACCAUCCAGGUCAACAGGAACCAACCCAAACCGUCCCCACGAGAGGCGCAGCAUCUCCCAGCACGCGGCACCAGCGCUGUUCCAGCACCCCACACUGGACAGAUCCGGGGAGCUCCAGGGUCUCACUGCAAUAAAUACUGAAAACAGCAAAUAAACCGAUGUGUGCAAGCAUAGCCCGGCAGCCUGCGAGCCGGUGCAGAGGGAAUGGCAGCGUCAGGGAGCCUCCGCACUUCUUCUCCAAAACCAGAAGAAACCACAGGUUUGGGUCAUGUCAGCUGCCAUCGUCAUCUCCAACCACAGCAGUUUGGGGUGACUGAGGCAGGAGCAGCCCUGCCAGGUUCUUGUAGGCUGAGGACAGCGAGACCAACAAAUGGGUUUAUGGUACACUGGCUCCUCCUGCGUGAGUCAUUGGAAGCAGUGAGCAAUCGUUAACUGCGUACUGAGUGCCAGACUCCGAGGCUGUUCAUCCCUCCGUGUCUACCACCCUUGGAGCACACAACUCUUCGGACAGCCCCUGCCCUUCCAGAGCUCACCCCUAAACCUGAGUAACCACCACGUGGUAACAGCACACACCAGUCAUGCUCUGGGCUAUGCUGGUAGCCGGACGUCUCUCCAUCCCGAAGUAUGGCUCCAGUCCCAGACCUCAGCGUCACCCGGAAUCUUGUUAGAAGCGCAGGAUCUCAAGGCCCACCCAGGACCAGCCGAGUCAGAGUCUGAUGUUUAACAACAUCCACAGGUGAUUCCUAUAGACGUGACCACUUGAGAAGCAUUGGCCUAAGCCCUUCACUUCCUAGGCUUAAGAAAAAAAGGGGGGAGAUUUCAUUUCCCAUUCAUUCUAACACACAGCGUCAUAUUACCACAAGCAAUGCUUCUGGGUGAGAGGCACGCCCACGUCUGCACACGCACACACUCGGCACACACAGAUGAGCACCUACCAUAGGAGCUGGCCACUGCAGAGAAAAGCAGUUGUCAAAUGAAUGGCUGUUCAGAUGAAUGAUUGUGAAGACCUAACAUUUGUUGAAUACCUACUAAGUGCUAGGCUCUGGGCUAGGAGCUUUCACACACUUGAUCUUCCUUAAUCCCCAUGUCAGCCCCCGGGGCAGGCCGCUGUUGUACCAGAUUUCCAGGUGGUUGCAAGUCCACGAACAAACAGUGGCCCUUCCUGGACCUAAUGGCACCCUUACCAGCUAUGGGGCUGGGAGAAAAGAAAAUUCAAUUUGAAAUGCAAAUUUCCCCGGAUGCCUUGCUCAUUUAUCUGGCAGCCUCACUCCCAGGGUUUCUGGAUCAGCAGGUGGGGGGUGGGGCUUGAGAAUUUGCAUCUUCAGGAAGUUCUCAGGGGACACUGAUAAUGCUGGCCUGAGAGCCGCACUUGGAGAACCACCGAGGAAGGUAAGGUAAUUAUCCCCAUUUUACAGGUGAGUAGAAUGAGGCACAAAAUUUUCAACGACUUGUCGAGGACCACGUACCCGUGAUGGGGACCCAGCAUUCUGCUCAUGAGCCACCAUGCUACACCACCCCAAUGAGAGGCACUUACUGCAAGAGGGACGGACAGUGGCCACCCCUGGGGGGGCUUUCUUUACAUGCUCGCUCCCUUAAAUCUGUCCUGCACACAAAACCAGAAUCAUUCUUUCAUUUUCUUUUAAUUUUCUUUUUGUAAAGAUUUGUUGAUUUAUUAGAGCGAGAGAGAGCAUGAGAAGCGGGGCAGAGGGAGAAGGAGAGAGUCUCAGGCAGACUCC